AGCUACAAUAGCGUAAUAACUAAAAGUUGUAGCAGUUAAAAAGCUACGUAAGUUUGGAUUUACUGUGGGGACGGAGCGGCCGGCCGCAACUUGCGGUUCGAGCUAAGCGCUUUUCCCUAACAUACCUAGCCGCGAAACCGUGCUACCAUUAAGUUUUGGUGGCGCCGGGGAAUCGGCUCGUUUACUUUUGAGAAAAAAUAGAGUGUUCAAAGCAGGCCACACGCCUUUGAAUAAGUUAGCAUGGAAUAAUAAUAAAGGACUUCGGUUCUAUUUUUGUUGGUGUUCGGGACUGAAGUAAUGAUUGAUAGGGACAGUUGGGGCGGUCAGUAUUCCAAAGCGAGAGGUGAAAUUCUUAGACCUUCGGAAGAACUAACAGCUGCGAAAGCGUUCCGCAAGGAUGUUCCCUUUGAUCAAGAACGAAAGUUGGGGGAUCGAAGACGAUCAGAUACCGUCGUAGUCUCAACUAUAAACUAUACCAGCUAGGGAUCGGCCAACGUUAAAUUAUUCGACUUGGUCGGCACCUUAUGAGAAAUCAAAGCAUCUGGGUUCCGGGGGGAGUAUGGUCGCAAGGCUGAAACUUAAAGGAAUUGACGGAAGGGCACCACCAGCCGUGGAGCCUGUGGCUUAAUUUGACUCAACACGGGAAAACUUACCAGGUCCAGACAUAGUAAGGAUUGACAGAUUGAUAGCUCUUUCUUGAUUCUGUGGGUGGUGGUGCAUGGCCGUUCUUAGUUGGUGGAGUGAUUUGUCUGGUUAAUUCCGUUAACGAACGAGACCCCAGCCUGCUAAAUAGCGCGGUUGAGCUUUGCUCGGCGCGAGCUUCUUAGAGGGACUAUGAUGCGCGAUAGCACAUGGAAGUUGGGGCAAUAACAGGUCUGUGAUGCCCUUAGAUGUUCUGGGCCGCACACGGGCUACACUGGCGCCUGCAACGAGCAUAUCAGCUGGCCCGAGAGGGUCUUGGCUAAUCUUUUGAACCGGCGCCGUGCUUGGGAUUGACCAUUGCAAUUGUUGGUCAUGCAACGAGGAAUGCCUUGUAAACGCGAGUCAUCAACUCGCAUUGAAUACGUCCCUGCCCCCUUGUACACACCGCCC
rnacentral:rRNA from 1 species